GCUCAACUCAGCCAUCUAUAAAAGACUGGCACUGAAAUCAGCGGCAUUUGCAUACGAGGGUGGUGUAUGAAGCUGUGUUUGCCUGCGGCAGAUCCCCCUGGCAGUCUCUGAGAGCUGCCAUCUUCUUCUGCCAGCCCUCCAUUAGGCCUGUAAGGUGUGUCAGUCAGCGCUCGUACACAGGGGCUUAUGGGAAGACUGCGGGGAAGUGAGGAGUGAACGGAUGAAGAAAAUACGUGAUGAAAGAGUGAUUCUUGUCCCAGUGCAGUCUGUUUGAACCGGCUACUCUGUCAGAUGGCCUGAGUCCUUCAUGAAGUCUUUGCAAUAAUCCAUCACAAAAGGACUAUCAAGGCCUUCUGGAUAUGUCUCAGUCUUCACUGAGGGACUGGAAGUAGUAUGAAAGGAGAAGCUGUCGUGCAGUUUUUGAUGGCUGUACACUAAUUGCUGACCCUAACAGGUCCAAUUAGAAGCUACACGCGCCCCGCGCAGGCCCAGGGGACUACACAUCCCAGCAUGCCGAGCACUGACAUUCUCGGAGUGACAUGAACAAGACAGCAACCAGACGUUCCCUCUUUCUUCUUUUUCUCACCAUGCUUUUCUCCAUCAUAAGAAUGAAAUCAGAUGGAGACUAAACUGAGAUUUUCUGCUUCUCAUCGUUUACAUCAAAGAAAAAGGACCCCAUUAAUCUUGCAUAUAUCAGUUUAACUGUUCUCUGUGAUCUGUGUGCAUUUGUUUUUCACAUACUACCGUAUAUAAACUUGAUCAUAUUUGUGACUGUCCAUAUCUUUAAUAACGAAACACUUUAUACUUUACAAGAAUGAGGAAAUUGUGCCUUUCUGCUUCUCAGAAUUCAGAUUCAUGCUUCUCAGAAUUCAGAUUCAUCUCUGCAAUGUAAUUUGGUAAAAGAAAAGUUUUGAUGAAAACUACUCACUAAAAGGACGAGGGCCACCCACUAAACACACACAAUUGUAAUUUUUGGCCCAUGAAUUCAAGCGAUUUCCCUAUCUGUGGGACAAAUACAUGUAAGCCUACCUACAAGAUUUUCAGGGACGAAAUGGAAAGAUAGAGAGGGAAUGAGAAUAAUAAAUGCAAAUUGUGAAUCCGUUUACAGAACACCGGCAAGAGGAAGUUCACAGUCUCCAAGGCACCAGAUUACUCCAUUGAUCCGAAUCCAAAAUGGCUCCAUGUCUGGCAUUUCAGAGGCCGUUUCCAAGUCAAUGUCAUCCUAUUGGCCCCAAACUAAAAGAGACAAAUAUAACCGGAAAAAGGUAAAGAUGGAGUGGUUGCCUUGCUGUUGUGCUGGUAUCAGACAUGGGCUCUUCAUCAGAUGACUAAUGGAGUUGUGCAGCUAACCAGGAGGCCCAAGGCUGUUUGUUAGCUCCUAACAAGUCAAUACAAUCAGCCGGUGUCAUCCAGCGGUCAGUCUCCAUGCAGGAGGGGCAGGUUUGCGAGAGGUAGCGGGGGCUUUAAGCGACGCUAAUCACCGCGCUCGCUGUCAAUCGCCUGCCAAUAUCAGCCGCCCCGUCCCCAUCUGUCAGAAGCGGGCCUGAUGGCUCCCUCGUUAGCGCCGAUCACCUGCCCUCAGCCGGAGCGCCUGUGCUAACAUCCAUCACUCACCCGCGCCCAUUUUUCCGCCGCCGCUGUCUAAUGGCCUUCGUUCAAUUGUCUCCUUUAGCUCGGGCGCUACAAAGUUAGUAG